rnacentral:rRNA from 1 species
ACGAACGAAGCACUUUAUUAUGAUUUCUUCGGAAUGACGAUUUAGUGACUGAGUGGCGGACGGGUGAGUAACGCGUGGGUAACCUGCCUUAUACGGGGGGAUAACAGUUAGAAAUGACUGCUAAUACCGCAUAAGCGCACAGGAUUGCAUGAUCUGGUGUGAAAAACUCCGGUGGUAUAAGAUGGACCCGCGUCUGAUUAGCUGGUUGGUGAGGUAACGGCCCACCAAGGCGACGAUCAGUAGCCGACCUGAGAGGGUGACCGGCCACAUUGGGACUGAGACACGGCCCAAACUCCUACGGGAGGCAGCAGUGGGGAAUAUUGCACAAUGGGGGAAACCCUGAUGCAGCGACGCCGCGUGAGCGAAGAAGCAUUUCGGUAUGUAAAGCUCUAUCAGCAGGGAAGAAAAAAUGACGGUACCUGACUAAGAAGCCCCGGCUAACUACGUGCCAGCAGCCGCGGUAAUACGUAGGGGGCAAGCGUUAUCCGGAUUUACUGGGUGUAAAGGGAGCGCAGGCGGUGCGGCAAGUCUGAUGUGAAAGCCCGGGGCUCAACCCCGGGACUGCAUUGGAAACUGUCGUACUUGAGUAUCGGAGAGGUAAGUGGAAUUCCUAGUGUAGCGGUGAAAUGCGUAGAUAUUAGGAGGAACACCAGUGGCGAAGGCGGCUUACUGGACGAUAACUGACGCUGAGGCUCGAAAGCGUGGGGAG